ensembl:lncRNA
AUGGUGUCUGAUAAGACUGAAGAGAAUCGGCCCGGGAUCAGAAAAGUGACUGCAACGGGGCUGUUUACCACAAUGCCUCACUCUCCACACUGCAGAACCUUCCCCCUCUCAAGACGAGGGGUGCCACUGACCCUCAAGUGGCCCACGUGCAGUCAUGGGGGUCCUUCGACUGAAUGCUUGUUGGCCACAAAUCUCCAGUUAAGAACAAGAGGCAACUUAUUUUUGGAGGCAAUCAAGGUUAAGUGACUUGCCCAGGGUCGCACAGCUUGUACGUGUCUGAGGCCGGACUUGAACGUGGGUUCUCCCGACUUCAGAGUCAGUGCUCUAGUCGUCUGUCCAAAAAGCCAACACUUCUUAAAAAAGAGAGGAUUAGAUCUCCCUUCCAAGCCUUUAUCUCACAAUCUAAGACUCCCAACUUUGCUGGGAGUCCUCUCUUGUUUCCCUCUAGCUUUGCUCCUUUUCACAGGAACCCAAGUGCAAGAUGUUCCUGGCGCUCCUGGGAGACCAAAGCAGGCCAGUAUUUCUCCAGUAGCUACCUUCGUUGAAACCAUUUUAAUGAGAGCUCAUCACACGGGGCAGAAUUAGGAAGGGCGGCUCGAUCUGCCACAUCUUCCUCCCCCAGUUCCUCCUCUCCACCUGUCCUGGUGUCCUGUCUAGAAGGUGGUACCUGCCAGAUGCUAGCUCUGUGACAGGAGGAAUACUGAACUGUGCUGGAACAGAUGUGUCAGGGCAGACCCUGACAUCACCCCAGCCCCUGUCACCUUCAAGCUCCUCCCCAAGAGAGAGAAUUUAGGGCCUCAAGCCAAUGGUAUUUUAUACAUUUUAACCAUAAGCUGUAAUUGGAAGCCAAAAUUAGUAAAGGGGAGUAAGAUAAUGUAGAAAUCUAUAACAUUACAUAUCAAAGGUCACUAUGUAGGGUCAGAGAAUUCAAGCUGACUGUAAUGAUCAAUCUUGUUCCUGAAGAACACGAACAGGAUUUGUCUAACCCCAAAGGCCCAAAGAGGGAUCACUCAGACCAAGUUGCUAACAAUUUGCCCAAAUUCCUUGGCAUGGCCACUGUUAGGAAAUGAACAUAGUGAGUCACAGACACAGGAAGUAUCGCAUGAACUGAUGGAAAAGUGAAGGAAGCAGAACCAGUGUAGAUUCGAUCGCAGUAACGUAUGAAUGACAAUUACUCAUCUCGUGGGGUGCUGGUGGGAGCCUAUGGGCACAAACACUGCACGUGCUGCAGUAAACCGUUCUGGUCAGUUUUACUGGAUCGGUUCUCUUUGCUACAAAGGAGGAUUCAUAUCGGUGGCAGGUAUGUCAGGAAAUACCUGAUAAAAAACAAAAGGCAUCCAGACCCUUCAAAGAAACCCAAUCCAUAACUUUAAAGGUGAAUGAUUCGGCAAUGCUGGCGAGACAUUCAUGACACCUAGCACCUCCAUUCAUGUGAGGGGAGUUUAGAAAAAGCUUCUGCAUGUAAAGGAAGAAUAUAAAACUAUUUAUUGACCACUGUUCACCAGUAUUUACAAUAAAGUAAACAAUAUACAGUUGUAUAACA